AUUGAACGCUGGCGGCAUGCUUUACACAUGCAAGUCGAACGGCAGCGCGGGCUUCGGCCUGGCGGCGAGUGGCGAACGGGUGAGUAAUACAUCGGAACGUGCCCAGUAUUGGGGGAUAGCUCGGCGAAAGCCGGAUUAAUACCGCAUACGACCUGAGGGUGAAAGCGGGGGAUCUUCGGACCUCGCGCGAUUUGAGCGGCCGAUGGCAGAUUAGCUAGUUGGUGGGGUAAAGGCCUACCAAGGCGACGAUCUGUAGCUGGUCUGAGAGGACGACCAGCCACACUGGGACUGAGACACGGCCCAGACUCCUACGGGAGGCAGCAGUGGGGAAUUUUGGACAAUGGGCGAAAGCCUGAUCCAGCAAUGCCGCGUGUGUGAUGAAGGCCUUCGGGUUGUAAAGCACUUUUGGCGGGAACGAAAAGGACUGUGCCAAUACCACGGUUCGAUGACGGUACCCGCAGAAUAAGCACCGGCUAACUACGUG
rnacentral:rRNA from 1 species